rnacentral:rRNA from 1 species
CCUACGGGAGGCAGCAGUGGGGAAUAUUGCACAAUGGGGGAAACCCUGAUGCAGCGACGCCGCGUGAGUGAAGAAGUCUCUCGGUAUGUAAAGCUCUAUCAGCAGGGAAGAAAAUGACGGUACCUGAUUAAGAAGCCCCGGCUAACUACGUGCCAGCAGCCGCGGGAACACGUAGGGGGCAAGCGUUAUCCGGAUUUCCUGGGUGUAAAGGGAGCGUAAACGGCAGCACAAGUCUGGAGUGAAAUGCCGGGGCGUAACCCCGGAACUGCAUUGGAAACUGUGCAGCUAGAGUGGAGGAGAGGUAAGUGGAAUGCCUGGUGUAGCGGUGAAAUGCGUAGAUAUCAGGAAGAACACCAGUGGCGAAGGCAGCUUACUGGCCUGUAACUGACGUUGAGGCUCGAAGGCGUGGGGAGCAAACAGGAUUAGAUACCCGUGUAGUC